UAGGGAAUCUUCGGCAAUGGGGGCAACCCUGACCGAGCAACGCCGCGUGAGUGAAGAAGGUUUUCGGAUCGUAAAGCUCUGUUGUAAGAGAAGAACGUGUGUGAGAGUGGAAAGUUCACACAGUGACGGUAACUUACCAGAAAGGGACGGCUAACUACGUGCCAGCAGCCGCGGUAAUACGUAGGUCCCGAGCGUAGUCCGGAUUUAUUGGGCGUAAAGCGAGCGCAGGCGGUUUAAUAAGUCUGAAGUUAAAGGCAGUGGCUUAACCAUUGUUCGCUUUGGAAACUGUUAAGCUUGAGUGCAGAAGGGGAGAGUGGAAUUCCAUGUGUAGCGGUGAAAUGCGUAGAUAUAUGGAGGAACACCGGUGGCGAAAGCGGCUCUCUGGUCUGUAACUGACGCUGAGGCUCGAAAGCGUGGGGAGCAAACAGG
rnacentral:rRNA from 1 species